rnacentral:misc_RNA from 1 species
UCUCCGUUGGUGAACCAGCGGAGGGAUCAUUAUCGAGUUUAUAACUCCCAAACCCUAUGUGAACUUACCACUUGUUGCUUCGGCGCGCGCUUCGGCGCCGCCGAGGACACUUAAACUCUCUGUUUUUAUAAGCAUUUCUGAGUGGCCGAAAGGCAAAAUACAAAUGAAUCAAAACUUUCAACAACGGAUCUCUUGGUUCUG